CCUACGGGUGGCAGCAGUGAGGAAUAUUGGUCAAUGGCCGGAAGGCUGAACCAGCCAAGCCGCGUGAAGGACGAAGGUGCCAAGCAUUGUAAACUUCUUUUGUCUAGGGACAAAAUCAGGCUCGAGAGCCUAACCGAGGCUACUUGAAGAAAAAGCAUCGGCUAACUCCUGGCCAGCAGCCGCGUUAAUACGUAGGAUGCUCGUGUAAUCUGGAUCUAUUGGGGUAAAGGGGUCCGUAGGCGAGCUGUUAGGUCAGCGGUAAAAGCCCGGGGCUCAACCCCGGCGAGCCGUUGAAACUGGCUGUCUUGAGAUGACAAGAGGAAUGCGGAAUGCGCAGUGUAGCGGUGAAAUGCUUAGAUAUUGCGCAGAACUCCGAUUGCGAAGGCAGCAUACCGGCGGCGAACUGACGCUGAGGCACGAAAGCGUGGGUAUCGAACAGGAUUAGAUACCCCGGUAGUC
rnacentral:rRNA from 1 species